CCUACGGGUGGCAGCAGUGAGGAAUAUUGGUCAAUGGUCGCGAGCCUGAACCAGCCAAGUAGCGUGAAGGAUGACUGCCCUAUGGGUUGUAAACUUCUUUUAUAAAGGAAUAAAGUGCGGCACGUGUGCCUUUUUGUAUGUACCUCAUGAAUAAGGAUCGGCUAAUUCCGUGCCAGCAGCCGCGGUAAUACGGAGGAUCCGAGCGUUAUCCGGAUUUAUUGGGUUUAAAGGGAGCGUAGAUGGGUUGUUAAGUCAGUCGUGAAAGUUUGCGGCUCAACCGUAGAAUUGCAAUGGAUACUGGCAGGCUUGAGUACGGUUGAGGUAGGCGGAAUUCGUGGUGUAGCGGUGAAAUGCUUAGAUAGCACGAAGAACUCCGAUUGCGAAGGCAGCUUACUAAACUGCCACUGACGUUGAUGCUCGAAGGUGUGGGUAUCAAACAGGAUUAGAUACCCCAGUAGUC
rnacentral:rRNA from 1 species